GCCAAUGCCCAGAAAGAAAAAUACCAAGGCUGAAGCCUCAGCCUCUAUAAAACCAAACCCUAUAAAACCUAUCAUCUCUUCUGCAAAACCUAUUCAAACUUGGGCAGACAUGGUCGAAGCAGAAGAAGAUCAAACAAAAUUUAUUGAAUCUCAGGCUCCAGAAACAGACAGCCAGAUUCAAAAAUGGAUAGAAUCACUAUCCAAAUCUCCUGAAGUUCUUCAGGCUUUACAAAACAUAACUCAGGCCAAUCAGGCCCAGAAAGGUAAAUCUACAAAACCUAUUUCCAAAACCCAGGAGAAAGGAGAGUCUUUCUCUCAAAAACCCCUUUCUCAAACUUUUCAAAACAUUUCUCAAGCCCAUGAGAUUUUACAAAUAGAUUUUCAAACAGAUGUUUCCCAACCAAAUUCUUCUCAAAUAGUUUUGUCUCAAACAAAAUUAAAAAAG
rnacentral:misc_RNA from 1 species